UACGGGGGGGGCAAGCGUUGUUCGGAAUUACUGGGCGUAAAGGGUCUGUAGGUGGCUUGCUAAGUCAGACGUGAAAUCCCUCAGCUUAACUGGGGAACUGCGUCUGAGACUGGCGAGCUUGAGGGCAGGAGAGGAACGCGGAAUUCCAGGUGUAGCGGUGAAAUGCGUAGAUAUCGGGAGGAACACCGGUGGCGAAGGCGGUUCUCUGGGCCUGUACUGACGCUGAGGAGCGAAAGCGUGGGGAGCGAACAGG
rnacentral:rRNA from 1 species